GCUGAAAUGUAUGUACGAAUUAAUACUAAUUUGAUGCUUAUGAUUUCGUUAAUACAUAAUAAAAUUCAUCUAAAGCAAAGUUAUACUUAUUACUUGUAAGUUCAAGCAACAUUUUUAUGUAUCAAUUUUUAUAUUUAUUUUAAUUUUUAGAAUUAACUCUUUAAAGAUAUUCUAUGAAUAUUAUUAAUACUUUUUAAAAUGAUAACAAUUAAAUAAUUGCUAAAAUUAUAGGAAUAUUUAUUUUAAUUGGCUUCAAUUUAAAUGUCAUCUUAAUUGAUUGCGAAUAUAUAAAAAACAUCGAUACUUUGACAAUAAUCUGAUAUGAUAUCUCGUUAAUGCGAAAACAAAUAACAAGAGGUCAAUUAAGAAUUGAGGUUAAUAAAGAAUGAAACCUUCAUCCUUAUAGGAAAAAAAAAAAAAAAAAAAAAGAAAACAAUUGGAUGAAAACGAGGUCCAACUAAUAAUACCGAUCAAUCGUCGGAUAUCUUUUGAAGGUAAUAUUCGAUCGGCAUUUUCACGAAGCAGUCUCGUUCGAAGGAAAAAUGUAGCCAGCGUCAAGCUGUCGGGCCAAUUAACUCGCGAUUAAUUUGUCCACGUUAACGAACUGUAAGGCGCAGAGAUGAUUCAUUGCCGGGUUACACGGUUCUUCGAUGCGAAAAAAGAAGUCAAUCUCGAGUAAGUGGAAGAAAAGGAAAUAGAGGAACGCUUAAAGAAAGACAAUUCAACCGUAUAAAUUAGAAUCCUGUUAACAACAUCGAAAUUAACAAUCUCUUAUCUAGUAUUCAAGAAAAAGUUGAAAAGUUAUUAUCAAACUUGGGAAAAUUGAAAUUUUACUUGGAACUAUAACAUGUGUAACUCGUAGUGUAACCGUCGCAGAACAAUUACUUUCCAAAAAAUUACAAUAUAAAUAAAAGAUACAUAUCUUCGAAAAAAAAAAAAAAAUUCAAAAUCAAAUCUCGCGUUUAAAAUUUUCAAAACUAAUUUUUCUUAACUCUUUCAGAUAUAAGGCGUAUCAUAAGUUUCCUCGUAUCUGUUUCAUUUACACGUAUACGUAUCAGACAUUAUCGAACAUGUCGAUUAUAACGCGGAUAGAUUUCGCUUCGAACGAGAAUAUUUCUCUGUUUCAUCGGAGUGAGGGAGAAGAGGCGAAAAGGGGAUCCGGAGUAUAUAUAUUCUUACCGAGACUUUACUGUUGGAGGCGGGGCUGUGGAGAGAACUGGACAAGGGUGCCAUUGGCAAGUAAAUCCCGGCGGCGCUGGAAUCGUUGGGCAAACAACGCCGGUCCCGCGGGCUCGGUCCACCGACGCUCGAGGACGAGGAAACGCUCAAUUGGUCCGACUCCCUGCCACCCCCGUAUCCCGUGGGUAAUGUCAAGGACAGAUCCUCCGACACGAAGCUACCCUCCAUUGUUCCACGAGGUACCGGUGGCGUUUGGUACAAUCCGCUGUCGGAACCCCUGCGCAACCAAACUUGAAGUCUCAGAGGGACUAAUUCACAACUUGGAAUUGCUAAUAGAUAAAUCUCUUUUUUUCAUUUUCUCUUUACUUAUUUAUUUCUUGUUCUGAUUUGUUUGUUUGUUUGUGUAGUAAAGCUAAACAUGGUGCAGUAGCGCUUUGGACGAUUAACACUGUAACAAAUUUAAGGAUUGUUGAAUAUUUCAAAGAUGAAAGUGUAUUUUUGUUUCAACACUUGGUGAUGGAAGAGAACUCGUGUGGAUAUGAUUGAAAAGUGUUGUUUGAAAUGUGGUAAGCUGUUCAAUAUAUUCCUUUCCAGAUUUUUGUUUUUCUUCUUGUGUUUCGAAAUUACUAUUCUUAUGCAUUAUUCAUGAUUCCACUUAAUAAUUUAUAAUGUAAAAACAUUAAUCUUAUUACAGAAUAAUGACAAUGGCAAAUGACAAAAUUUCAUCAUAGGAUUAAAUCUAAAUGAUCAUUUUCAAACGCUCGAUCAAAAUUACAAUCAUAAUAUUCAAUUUACAAAAAAGAAUUUAUUCGUACGUUAGAAAGAUGCAACAAGUGAUUUUUUGGUAAAAUUCAGUCUAGAGGAAACCUUCGAUUGACAAUCGAACGGAAUAUUUAUUCCAGUGUCGGGGAAUCAAAAGCGCUACCAAAAGUGCUGGAGAAUGUUUGCAUGCCAUUACCGUGUGGUAUCGCGCUGUGUUAAUGGUAUUCUGUCGGUGGUAGUGUUUUGUGGUUUGUCGUCGGGAGUCUGAUCGGAACUUUCGAGUGUAUUUAUCGAGUUCAGAGUGUCGGACAUAGACAUAAAGACGCUGUCGAAGACUGAACUGGGGUCGGAGUCCUCUGUCUGCUGGAGGGUCCUCCGUACACCGUUCACUGUCGGUCCCCCAUUCUGCUCGUCUUCACUGAAAUUCGCAAUCCAUCCGUUACCUUAAAGAAAUCGUCUCUUUCAAAGACGACUCGUUCAUCGAUAUUCAACCCAAACAACAGAUAUACACGAAUACCCCUGCGUCUCUCCCUCGACAAUACGUAAGUUCGAGCGGAUGAACGGCGACUUUUUAAUGAAGCCACGUAGACGAGGUCGUAGGAGAGGCGCAAGCGGAGAAACAGAAGGAGAAAAGCAGCCGAGGAGUGGAAACAAGCGAAGCCAGAGGUGAAUGAGGAACCGGCGAACCGCGAGUGGAGGCCGUGCCCAUAGGACGAGGGAGAGAGCAAUGGUUAUUAGUUUUAUGCUGAGACGGGCUAACAUUUACAUUGUUUAACGUGAUGGAUUCAUCUCGAGGCGGUCGAGCCACGGCUACCGACGUCAAACAUUGACGGUGGAGGUGCGGAAAGCCCUCCUCUCCCCUCCUCACCUCGACAUAUCGUCUCUCUCUCUC
rnacentral:lncRNA from 1 species